rnacentral:rRNA from 1 species
AGUGGCGAACGGGUGAGUAACACGUGAGUAACCUGCCCCUGACUCUGGGAUAAGCGUUGGAAACGACGUCUAAUACUGGAUACGACUGCCGGCCGCAUGGUCUGGUGGUGGAAAGAUUUUUUGGUUGGGGAUGGACUCGCGGCCUAUCAGCUUGUUGGUGAGGUAAUGGCUCACCAAGGCGACGACGGGUAGCCGGCCUGAGAGGGUGACCGGCCACACUGGGACUGAGACACGGCCCAGACUCCUACGGGAGGCAGCAGUGGGGAAUAUUGCACAAUGGGCGAAAGCCUGAUGCAGCAACGCCGCGUGAGGGAUGACGGCCUUCGGGUUGUAAACCUCUUUUAGUAGGGAAGAAGCGAAAGUGACGGUACCUGCAGAAAAAGCACCGGCUAACUACGUGCCAGCAGCCGCGGUAAUACGUAGGGUGCAAGCGUUGUCCGGAAUUAUUGGGCGUAAAGAGCUCGUAGGCGGUUUGUCGCGUCUGCUGUGAAAUCCCGAGGCUCAACCUCGGGCUUGCAGUGGGUACGGGCAGACUAGAGUGCGGUAGGGGAGAUUGGAAUUCCUGGUGUAGCGGUGGAAUGCGCAGAUAUCAGGAGGAACACCGAUGGCGAAGGCAGAU